rnacentral:rRNA from 1 species
AUGCGGCGAGACGCGGCCGUCGUGCCCGCGGCGGUCGUGACCUCGCAGCAGAUAGCGGCCGGCGGGGCGGAAAUGGGGAAUGUCGGGCCGGUGGUCAUCGACAUUGACUCGGCGCCGGCGACGGUGGCCAUCGACAUCGACCUCAACACGGGGGGCGCGACCCGCGACGUGGCGUGCCGGAUCUGCCACCUCAGUCCCGAGGGCAGCAAUGGGCCCGCGGCGGCACCUGGGUCGGAGGUGAUCCGGCUUGGCUGCUACUGCAAGGAGGAGCUCGGCCACGCGCACCGACAAUGCGCCAAGGCAUGGUUCCAGAACAAGGAGAUAACAUUUGCCAGAUCAAAUGGAAUAAUGAUGCAUGCUCGAGGAAAACCUACAUAA